GCGGAGGAAAAGAAACCAACAGGGAUUGCCCCAGUAACGGCGAGUGAAGCGGCAAGAGCUCAAAUUUGAAAGCUGGCUCCUUCGGGGUCCGCAUUGUAAUUUGCAGAGGAUGCUUCGGGAGCGGUCCCCAUCUAAGUGCCCUGGAACGGGACGUCAUAGAGGGUGAGAAUCCCGUAUGGGAUGGGGUGUCCGCGCCCGUGUGAAGCUCCUUCGACGAGUCGAGUUGUUUGGGAAUGCAGCUCUAAAUGGGUGGUAAAUUUCAUCUAAAGCUAAAUAUUGGCCGGAGACCGAUAGCGCACAAGUAGAGUGAUCGAAAGAUGAAAAGCACUUUGAAAAGAGAGUUAAAAAGCACGUGAAAUUGUUGAAAGGGAAGCGCUUGCGACCAGACUCGCUCGCGGGGUUCAGCCGGCAUUCGUGCCGGUGUAUUUCCCCGCGGGCGGGCCAGCGUCGGUUUGGGCGGUCGGUCAAAGGCCCUCGGAAGGUAACGCCCCUAGGGGCGUCUUAUAGCCGAGGGUGCAAUGCGACCUGCCUAGACCGAGGAACGCGCUUCGGCUCGGACGCUGGCAUAAUGGUCGUAAGCGACCCGUCUUGA
rnacentral:rRNA from 1 species